UUUUAUUUAUGGAGUCUAAAAGGAGGAGGCGAAUCGAACGCAAAAAUUAUGGGCCCAGUUUUUGAGAUCUAAAUGAAGUUCGAAAAUCGCCGUUAGGGGCGCUUGUGAUGAUUGGGAUACUAGAAAUACACAGCUUCUUAUGGCAAGAAUAACUAUUUUGUUAUAAAUUAUAGAGCCAAGUUAAUAUUUGGGCAUAUUUUUACCAGAGUUAGCUUUUAGAAACGUGGUUUUUCUAAUUGAGCAAUGUGCGUGGCUAAAAUUGUGAAUACAAAACCUUAAAUUUGAGUUUGAAAAUGCAUACACGACCGAAGAAACAUAUAAGCUGCUAAAAUAAAUCUUCCCUAGAACUGUUGUACAAAAAAGAUAGAAGUUCCAGCAACAAAUUUAUCACCAGUUCAACCUUUGAUUUGAUGUAAACAGUAAUUGUUUCUUGAUGAGAAAUGCGAAUGAAAUAGUUUAUGGUGUGAUUGUGUUAGUGUUUUAUUAAUAGUUUUGUUGAUGCAGUUUAAAGGUUCAUAGUUUUUCAUUAAAACAUUUGAAAUUGACAUGUUUACAUGCAGUUUAGUGUGAUACCAUUUUAAUAAACAUUAAAAUCUUUCGAACUAGUAGUGGUUUUAUGGCGAUUGACAGAUUGAAUAACGAAAAUUAAGAGUAUUUUAUCAGGAAUAACUUAAUCAUAAAUGGAAACUGAAGACGAACGUUACCAUUGCACCCUUUGAUCGGUGUUAUCUAUUCCAUAACUUUUUAUAGCUGAAACUAGAGAGUAGGUAUAUUGAGCUGAAACGUUUCCUGUGUUCAAUAGCGUUUUUUCUAGCGUUGAAUUGUAAGUUUUAAUGUCAUUAGCAAAGUUUUGCAAAUUGUCACUGUUUCGUAGACAAUUAAAUUCAAGAUAUAUUAUAUUCAAUGUCACCUAAUAAUUGUAAAGGUUUUUCUAUUGAUAUUCACUUUAUUAAUAUAAGGUAGGUUUGUAAAUAAAAUAUUAAUGAAUAAAUAAUGUACUCAGUUUAUUUCAAAAGCACAAAAAUACAGAGUUGUGAAUAUGUAUAUACGCUGACUUAUUUCAUCAUAUAAAUAUUUAUUUAGCAAUAUUAAUACAUUACAACUUUUGUUUCUAUUAACUAAUUCCACUAAAUUUAAUAAAUAAAAUAUACAAUAUAUAAAUUUAAUAUACAAUUUAGCACUUAGAUAUUAAAUAUCUAUAUGUACUAUGCCAAAAAAUAAAACAGGAACAUCAUAUUAUAUCAAGAACACAAAAAAUUACAAUUUAAAAAAAAUGCAUUCUAAAAAAAUACCUAGCUACAAUAUACCUACAUAUUAAUUUAAAGAGCUUAUUCAUAUUCAUAAAAACUAUUCUAAAUGGUUUAUAUACACAAUCAAAAGUAUCAACCACAAUACAAUAAUUUUCAAAUUAUUUCUUAUUAUUCCUCAA